CAGUUGGAAUACCAAAUCGUCAUCCUAACAUCAUCUAGAGCCGUACUCCUAGACCAGGAACUGCUGCUACUGAAUCUCCCACCCACAUGUUUGAAAGCUUUUGAGGCAUAGUAUGUGUUCAUACUACCACACAAAAGACAUGUAUCCACAGCGCUGCAGAAUUGUGUGGUACUAAUUUGCAUAAGUUGUGCAGAACUGGCAGGUGUUUCUACUAAGGACCACUGA
rnacentral:lncRNA from 14 species